GUUUACAGCCAUACCACCCUGAACGUGCCAGAGCUCAUCAAUCUCGGAAGCUAAGCAGGGUCAGAUCUGCUUAAUACUUUGAUGGGAGAAAAUAGAAAUGUGAGUG
ensembl:rRNA 5S_rRNA 5S ribosomal RNA